UACGAAGGGUGCAAGCGUUAAUCGGAAUUACUGGGCAUAAAGCGCGCGUAGGUGGUUCAGUAAGUUGGAAGUGAAAUCCCCGGGCUCAACCUGGGAACUGCUUUCAAAACUGCUGAGCUAGAGUACGGUAGAGGGUGGUGGAAUUUCCUGUGUAGCGGUGAAAUGCGUAGAUAUAGGAAGGAACACCAGUGGCGAAGGCGACCACCUGGACUGAUACUGACACUGAGGUGCGAAAGCGUGGGGAGCAAACAGG
rnacentral:rRNA from 1 species